rnacentral:rRNA from 1 species
AGAGUUUGAUCCUGGCUCAGAAUCAACGCUGGCGGCGUGCCUAACACAUGCAAGUCGCACGAGAAAGGGGAGCAAUCCCUGAGUACAGUGGCGCACGGGUGAGUAACACGUGACUAAUCUACCCUCGAGUGGGGAAUAACUGAGAGAAAUCUUAGCUAAUACCGCAUAACACUUACGAGUCAAAGCAGCAAUGCGCUUGGGGAGGAGGUCGCGGCCGAUUAGCUAGUUGGCGGGGUAAUGGCCCACCAAGGCGAUGAUCGGUAUCCGGCCUGAGAGGGCGCACGGACACACUGGAACUGAAACACGGUCCAGACUCCUACGGGAGGCAGCAGUGGGGAAUUUUGCGCAAUGGGGGAAACCCUGACGCAGCAACGCCGCGUGGAGGAUGAAAUAUCUUGGUAUGUAAACUCCUUUCGAUGGGGAAGAUUAUGACGGUACCCAUAGAAGAAGCCCCGGCUAACUUCGUGCCAGCAGCCGCGGUAAUACGAGGGGGGCAAGCGUUGUUCGGAUUUAUUGGGCGUAAAGGGUGCGUAGGCGGUUUGGCAAGUCUUAUGUGAAAUCUUCGGGCUCAACCCGAAGCCUGCAUGAGAAACUGCCGGGCUUGAGUAUGGGAGAGGUGAGUGGAAUUUCCGGUGUAGCGGUGAAAUGCGUAGAUAUCGGAAGGAACACCUGUGGCGAAAGCGGCUCACUGGACCAUAACUGACGCUGAUGUACGAAAGCUAGGGGAGCAAACAGGAUUAGAUACCCUAGUAGUCC